rnacentral:rRNA from 1 species
CCUACGGGAGGCAGCAGUGGGGAAUUUUGGACAAUGGGCGCAAGCCCGAUCCAGCAAUGCCGCGUGAGUGAAGAAGGCCUUCGGGUUGUAAAGCUCUUUUGUCAGGGAAGAAACGGUGGAGGCUAAUAUCCUUUGCUAAUGACGGUACCUGAAGAAUAAGCACCGGCUAACUACGUGCCAGCAGCCGCGGUAAUACGUAGGGUGCAAGCGUUAAUCGGAAUUACUGGGCGUAAAGCGUGCGCAGGCGGUUUUGUAAGUUUGUCGUGAAAUCCCCGGGCUCAACCUGGGAAUGGCGAUGAAGACUGCAAGGCUAGAAUCUGGCAGAGGGGGGUAGAAUUCCACGUGUAGCAGUGAAAUGCGUAGAGAUGUGGAGGAACACCGAUGGCGAAGGCAGCCCCCUGGGUCAAGAUUGACGCUCAUGCACGAAAGCGUGGGGAGCAAACAGGAUUAGAUACCCUGGUAGUCCACGCCCUAAACGAUGUCUACUAGUUGUCGGGUUUUAAUUAACUUGGUAACGCAGCUAACGCGUGAAGUAGACCGCCUGGGGGAGGUACGGUCGCAGAUAAACUACAAGAAGUAGAGCGNGAGAGNGCCGACGACGACGACGAGGGAGAGG